CAAAAACUUCACCCGCGAAUACAAGGUGCUGCGCUACGGAAAUCUUCACCACAAUUUCCUCCUCCUAAAACUAUCACCGUCCACGUCCAGGUCCUCCUCCAUGGCGACGUCCAGGCUGAGGACCGUGACGAACAUGUCAAGGUUGUCGUCGGGCCCCGCCAGACGCUCGAGCUCCUCGAACGCCUCGGUGUGGCGGUCCACCUCGUUGCUGGAGACGAUGAACGCCUACAAGCCCGCGAGGAAGCGGCGAGCGGAGUUGGAGACGACCGCGGCGCGACCCGCGACAUCGAGCACGGUGGUGAGGUGGUGGCGAUCACUGGCGAUGAUCACCGGAGUGGAAGUGGAAGAGAAGAACACAAAGGACAUAGAACAGACAGGAUAGCGACGGUAGAGGAAGAAGGUAGAUUCUCAAAAACAGAAUUCCGUUACAGUGUUUUCGAUGCCCUCUCUCUCAAGCCACUCUACCAUAUUAGGGCCGCCUAUUCGUUAUUCGUUUUGUUCUCAAU
rnacentral:misc_RNA from 1 species